GGGUUGUGAGGUUAAGCGACUAAGCGUACACGGUGGAUGCCCUGGCAGUCAGAGGCGAUGAAGGGCGUGCUAAUCUGCGAUAAGCGCCGGUAAGGUGAUAUGAACCGUUAUAACCGGCGAUACCCGAAUGGGGAAACCCAGUGUGACUCGUCACACUAUCAUUAACUGAAUCCAUAGGUUAAUGAGGCGAACCGGGGGAACUGAAACAUCUAAGUACCCCGAGGAAAAGAAAUCAACCGAGAUUCCCCCAGUAGCGGCGAGCGAACGGGGAGGAGCCCAGAGCCUGAAUCAGCAUGUGUGUUAGUGGAAGCGUCUGGAAAGGCGCGCGAUACAGGGUGACAGCCCCGUACACAAAAGCGCAUGUGCUGUGAGCUCGAUGAGUAGGGCGGGACACGUGGUAUCCUGUCUGAAUAUGGGGGGACCAUCCUCCAAGGCUAAAUACUCCUGACUGACCGAUAGUGAACCAGUACCGUGAGGGAAAGGCGAAAAGAACCCCGGCGAGGGGAGUGAAAAAGAACCUGAAACCGUGUACGUACAAGCAGUGGGAGCCCCACCACUAAGCCAGUGGUGAACUCCACAUCCGCAUCCUUUGCUGAGGAUACGGUUAACGGAGCGAAAGCGACGUUCAACCGCAAAACAAGCAGAGGGGGCUUAGUGGUGGGGUGACUGCGUACCUUUUGUAUAAUGGGUCAGCGACUUAUAUUCUGUAGCAAGGUUAACCGAAUAGGGGAGCCGGAGGGAAACCGAGUCUUAAUUGGGCGUUAAGUUGCAGGGUAUAGACCCGAAACCCGGUGAUCUAGCCAUGGGCAGGUUGAAGGUUGGGUAACACUAACUGGAGGACCGAACCGACUAAUGUUGAAAAAUUAGCGGAUGACCUGUGGCUGGGGGUGAAAGGCCAAUCAAACCGGGAGAUAGCUGGUUCUCCCCGAAAGCUAUUUAGGUAGCGCCUCGUGAAUUCAUCUCCGGGGGUAGAGCACUGUUUCGGCUAGGGGGCCAUCCCGGCUUACCAACCCGAUGCAAACUGCGAAUACCGGAGAAUGUUAUCACGGGAGACACACGGCGGGUGCUAACGUCCGUCGUGAAGAGGGAAACAACCCAGACCGCCAGCUAAGGUCCCAAAGUCAUGGUUAAGUGGGAAACGAUGUGGGAAGGCCCAGACAGCCAGGAUGUUGGCUUAGAAGCAGCCAUCAUUUAAAGAAAGCGUAAUAGCUCACUGGUCGAGUCGGCCUGCGCGGAAGAUGUAACGGGGCUAAACCAUGCACCGAAGCUGCGGCAGCGAACGUAUCACCCAAGACAACUUUACGGAGUUGACGAUUGACGGAGCGAAGCGACGUCAAAGCGUUCAUUAAAGUCGAGUUGGCUUAGGGAUACGUUCGUUGGGUAGGGGAGCGUUCUGUAAGCCUGUGAAGGUGUGUCGUGAGGCAUGCUGGAGGUAUCAGAAGUGCGAAUGCUGACAUAAGUAACGAUAAAGCGGGUGAAAAGCCCGCUCGCCGGAAGACCAAGGGUUCCUGUCCAACGUUAAUCGGGGCAGGGUGAGUCGACCCCUAAGGCGAGGCCGAAAGGCGUAGUCGAUGGGAAACGGGUUAAUAUUCCCGUACUUGGUGUUACUGCGAAGGGGGGACGGAGAAGGCUAUGUUGGCCGGGCGACGGUUGUCCCGGUUUAAGCGUGUAGGUGUGUGUUCCAGGUAAAUCCGGUUCACUUUAACACUGAGGCGUGACGACGAGGCACUACGGUGCUGAAGCAACAAAUGCCCUGCUUCCAGGAAAAGCCUCUAAGCAUCAGGUAACACGAAAUCGUACCCCAAACCGACACAGGUGGUCAGGUAGAGAAUACCAAGGCGCUUGAGAGAACUCGGGUGAAGGAACUAGGCAAAAUGGUGCCGUAACUUCGGGAGAAGGCACGCUGACACGUAGGUGAAGUGAUUUACUCAUGGAGCUGAAGUCAGUCGAAGAUACCAGCUGGCUGCAACUGUUUAUUAAAAACACAGCACUGUGCAAACACGAAAGUGGACGUAUACGGUGUGACGCCUGCCCGGUGCCGGAAGGUUAAUUGAUGGGGUCAGCGUAAGCGAAGCUCCUGAUCGAAGCCCCGGUAAACGGCGGCCGUAACUAUAACGGUCCUAAGGUAGCGAAAUUCCUUGUCGGGUAAGUUCCGACCUGCACGAAUGGCGUAAUGAUGGCCAGGCUGUCUCCACCCGAGACUCAGUGAAAUUGAACUCGCUGUGAAGAUGCAGUGUACCCGCGGCAAGACGGAAAGACCCCGUGAACCUUUACUAUAGCUUGACACUGAACAUUGAGCCUUGAUGUGUAGGAUAGGUGGGAGGCUUUGAAGUGUGGACGCCAGUCUGCAUGGAGCCGACCUUGAAAUACCACCCUUUAAUGUUUGAUGUUCUAACGUGGACCCGUAAUCCGGGUUGCGGACAGUGUCUGGUGGGUAGUUUGACUGGGGCGGUCUCCUCCUAAAGAGUAACGGAGGAGCACGAAGGUUGGCUAAUCCUGGUCGGACAUCAGGAGGUUAGUGCAAUGGCAUAAGCCAGCUUGACUGCGAGCGUGACGGCGCGAGCAGGUGCGAAAGCAGGUCAUAGUGAUCCGGUGGUUCUGAAUGGAAGGGCCAUCGCUCAACGGAUAAAAGGUACUCCGGGGAUAACAGGCUGAUACCGCCCAAGAGUUCAUAUCGACGGCGGUGUUUGGCACCUCGAUGUCGGCUCAUCACAUCCUGGGGCUGAAGUAGGUCCCAAGGGUAUGGCUGUUCGCCAUUUAAAGUGGUACGCGAGCUGGGUUUAGAACGUCGUGAGACAGUUCGGUCCCUAUCUGCCGUGGGCGCUGGAGAACUGAGGGGGGCUGCUCCUAGUACGAGAGGACCGGAGUGGACGCAUCACUGGUGUUCGGGUUGUCAUGCCAAUGGCACUGCCCGGUAGCUAAAUGCGGAAGAGAUAAGUGCUGAAAGCAUCUAAGCACGAAACUUGCCCCGAGAUGAGUUCUCCCUGAGACUUUAGGUCUCCUGAAGGAACGUUGAAGACGACGACGUUGAUAGGCCGGGUGUGUAAGCGCAGCGAUGCGUUGAGCUAACCGGUACUAAUGAACCGUGAGGCUUAACCUUACAACGCCGAAG
rnacentral:rRNA from 1 species